ensembl:lncRNA
GCGCUCACAAUCCCCAGACUUUUGAGGAAUGUCACCUGUGCCUCAUUAGAGCUGAGCGUUUAAGCCCGACUCUGACGAUCAGUAGAGAGGCGUAGCCAAGGGACAGCAAGGGGUGACCAGUCCCAUCUUGGAAUUAGAUGUCACUGGUUUGAAUCCAGUAGCCAGUGAGAAUGACAAAGCAGUAUAUCAUCCUUGUCUAAAUCGUCAGGAAUAUCUUACAGCAGCAAGCAGCGGGAAGAACAAUGCUUCUAGUGUCCCCUAUA